rnacentral:rRNA from 1 species
UACGUAGGUGGCAAGCGUUGUCCGGAAUUAUUGGGCGUAAAGCGCGCGCAGGCGGUUCCUUAAGUCUGGUGUGAAAGCCCCCGGCUCAACCGGGGAGGGUCAUUGGAAACUGGGGAACUUGAGUGCAGAAGAGAAGAGCGGAAUUCCGCGUGUAGCGGUGAAAUGCGUAGAGAUGUGGAGGAACACCAGUGGCGAAGGCGGCUCUUUGGUCUGUAACUGACGCUGAGGCGCGAAAGCGUGGGGAGCAAACAGG